UGAGAGGAUGAUCCGCCACACUGGGACUGAGACACGGCCCAGACUCCUACGGGAGGCAGCAUUGGGGAAUUUUGGACAAUGGGGGCAACCCUGAUCCAGCCAUGCCGCGUGAGUGAAGAAGGCCUUCGGGUUGUAAAGCUCUUUCGGCUGGGAAGAAAUCGCAUCUCCUAAUACGGGGUGUGGAUGACGGUACCAGCAUAAGAAGCACCGGCUAACUACGUGCCAGCAGCCGCGGUAAUACGUAGGGUGCGAGCGUUAAUCGGAAUUACUGGGCGUAAAGCGUGCGCAGGCGGUUUCGUAAGACAGAGGUGAAAUCCCCGGGCUCAACCUGGGAACUGCCUUUUGUGACUGCGAGGCUAGAGUAUGGCAGAGGGGGGUGGAAUUCCACGUGUAGCAGUGAAAUGCGUAGAGAUGUGGAGGAACACCGAUGGCGAAGGCAGCCCCCUGGGCCAAUACUGACGCUCAUGCACGAAAGCGUGGGGAGC
rnacentral:rRNA from 1 species